AAGAUGUGCCAGUCUCAGAGGCUGUGUGACGCUCUCAUUCAUCACUGUAAAAUGGUCAUCCUCCACUUCAGAAUAAACAGGCUGUCGUUUCUAAUGCAUUCAUUCAUGGGUGGCCACCUCUUCCCACCCAAACAGCCCACUGGAAGGUCUGGAGAGGAUAAAUGUAAGUUGAACAUCAGCUUUAUUGCUAUCUAGAAGGGGCCAUUCUUCAGGAGCAGGACGUUUUAAAUUAACAUCUCUCAGUGAGGAGGAAUUGUGAGAGAGGAAAGAUAAUCUUCGCCGGUGGCAAAGUGCCCAGGCUUCGUGGGAAGUCCACACUCCCUUCCCUGACAUCUGCCAGCGAGUGCCUUCAGCGACACCUCACUGUCUCUAAAAGCAAAUGCUUUCCAAGAACACAGACAUGUGAAUGCGUGACAUCACACCACCAGCACAAUCAUCAAGCUGAUAAACAGCACCCAGCAUUCAACAAGAGGAUAAUGGUUUGCGUAUUCCUCGGAUUCCAAACUGCUCUCAGAUGAGACUUCAACUCAGAUGGGAGAGAAUGACACAGCAGAGACAGAAAGCAGUGUAUCAUGACACACGUCAUCAGAUGCGACCUCCUUCCUCCCUGAGUGUGACCUGGAAGCUGUGCGAAUCCAAACGGUGUAAUUAAACUCUUCCUGC